rnacentral:rRNA from 1 species
GUGUCAGCAGCCGCGGUAAUACGUAGGGGGCAAGCGUUGUCCGGAUUUAUUGGGCGUAAAGCGCGUGUAGGCGGCCAGGCAGGUCCGUUGUGAAAACUGGAGGCUCAACUUCCAGACGUCGAUGGAAACCGCCCGGCUAGAGUCCGGAAGAGGAGAGUGGAAUUCCUGGUGUAGCGGUGAAAUGCGCAGAUAUCAGGAAGAACACCAAUGGCGAAGGCAGCUCUCUGGGACGGUACUGACGCUGAGACGCGAAAGCGUGGGGAGCGAACAGGAUUAGAUACCCUGGUAGUCC